GCACAUAUGACAAAUACUUCAUUGCCUUUGCAGGAACAAACCAGCAGCGGCCCUCUUAUUAAAAACAGAUCCAUCUCACUGCUACCCGUGAAGCAAGAGCUAGAGGAUAGUGACCAGGAAAUCACGAGUGAAGAUGAACUCACUUCGUCUGACAAACCUCCCAGUUGCAAACAAAUAAGACGGAGGUCAUACAUAAUAGAAGACGAUUCAGAAGAGGAGAGCAAUGAAACAAGUAUGAUAAAAUGCGUAGAUGCAAAAGUUCGAGGCAAAAAUGCAAAAGGCGCUCAUGCAAAAUCCACAAAGGCGGAAAUCAGAAAUGACACCUACAGCCAUGAAAUAAACAAAUCAGUUGUUGAAGAAUCCAUCAAGGCAGGAAAAAGAUAGGCUAAAACCAUCAAUGGCAUAGGCAAGGAAAGCUCUGUUGAAAAACGUCAGAAAACAUGUGUUCAAUCAGACAAUAAAGCAUGCAACACAAGGCCUCAGAGAACAAGGAAAAUGAAUUCUAAGUAUACAAAUAGUGCUUAGAGCUCAUGAUAAUAGUUCAUAAUUAGCAGUAGCUCGAUAGAAUAUCCUACAGUUAAUGAUACUAGCUAGAAAGAAUAGUUCAUAGUCAAUACAGAUCAUUACAUGUACUGUAUUAUAAUAGUCGAAUGUUGUAUAUGCAUAAACUGAGAUAUAUUACUAUGCAAUCUGUUAUUUUAUUUAUGAUUUUUUAUCACAUCUCUGUAUAUACAGACCUAAUUUUGCAACCGAUUGCACAUGAAGCAUCCAAACAUAUAAUUCAUGCAAAGGAAUUGAAAAGAAAAACAGCGUCAACCAACCUUUGCCUGCCCGCCGAUUCCCCCAGGCUCGCCACCCUGGCCGAUCCGUGACCCAACCACUGCACCGCCUCCACCUUACAUUUUGCUGGAUGCCGAAAUGAGACCCAAAAUAGCAGAUUUUGUUAUGACCAAAAUUUUUGGUGAAAACCAGCAAAAGGCGAAUACUAAAAAAUCCGAGGACAUGCAGUACAAGAGAAGAAUAAUCUUAAACUUUCCAACGCUGCGGUUAACAGAUUCACAGAAGAAAGCAUAUGCCUUGAUCGAAAUAGAGAAACUAAUGAGACAAGCAGGAAAAUCGCUAAGGGACUACCCAGACAUAGAGCUACCAAAUGCUGCCGAGAUAGAGGAACUUGGUAACAGACUUAUAAACGAAGAGCUUAACUAUGACAAAGACCAACUGAAGGAUGAGCACCUCGCCAUAUUAAACAGCCUUAACACAGAUCAGAAAAAAGCCUUCGAUGCGAUAAUGGAAUCUAUCAACGGAGGGCAAGGAAAGCAAAUAUUUGUGGAAGGCUAUGGCGGGACAGGGAAAACAUACCUAUGGAAAGCACUCACGACAAAACUAAGAUCCGAGGGGAAGAUAGUCCUUGCAGUUGCUUCAUGUGGUAUUGCAGCACUUCUACUCCAAGGUGGGAGAACGGCACACUCAAGAUUUCGCAUUCCAAUAAAGAUCACGGAAGAGUCAACAUGCGAAAUAAAGCAAGGAACCCAUUUGGCCGAACUACUAAAAAGGACAUCACUGAUACUAUGGGAUGAGGCUCCGAUGGCAAACAAGCAUUGCUUUGAAGCAUUGGACAAAAGCCUAAGAGAUAUAAUGAGGUUCACUAAUGAAAACAGCAGUGAAAGGCCAUUUGGCGGCAUGACAGUUGUAUUGGGCGGGGACUUUAGACAGAUCCUUCCGGUGAUUCCAAAGGGAAGGAGAGAGAAUAUAGUGAAUGCAUCAAUCAAACGCUCAUACCUCUGGAAUCACUUUGAAAUUAUCAAACUAACAGAAAACAUGCGACUAAGCUGCAUGUCCAAUGAACCGCUAGAGAAGCAAAAGGUCGCUGAAUUCGCUAAGUGGAUUCUACAUAUCGGUGACGGAGCAUCAGCAUCAGAUGAAGGAGAGGAAUGGGUAAAAAUCCCAAGUGAUAUCCUACUACAAAAAGGACAAGACCCAAAAGAAACAAUCGUCAAAAGCAUUUAUCCAAACUUGCUGGACAACUACCGUGAAAGAGAAUUUCUAGAGGAAAGAGCUAUCCUAUGCCCAAGAAACGAAACAGUCCAGGAAAUUAAUGAGUACAUAAUGAACCAAAUACAACGAGAAGAAAUGACAUACCUAAGCUGUGACACCGUUUGCAAAGCGAUGACAAACAACAGUAGCAUGGAGCACAUGUAUCCUACCGAGUUCCUCAACACGUUGAAAUUCCCUGGAAUACCAAACCACGAACUUAAGCUUAAAGUAGGCCUGCCUGUCAUGCUACUUCGUAACAUCAACCAAACUGCAGGCCUAUGCAACGGCACGAGAAUGACAAUCACACAGUUAGGUAAGAAAUACAUCGAAGCACAGAUCAUAACAGGUACACAUGUGGACGACAAGGUAUACAUACAAUCAUCAUGUCACCGAGCGACACCAACUGGCCAUUUGUCCUGAAAAGAAGACAACAUCCUCUAUUAGUUUGCUUCGCAAUGACCAUAAAUAAAAGCCAAGGCCAGUCCCUGAACAAGGUUGGUUUAUAUCUACCUAAACAAGUCUUCUGCCAUGGGGGCCUGUUUGGGGAGCUUUAGAUUCCGAGAAGCAGCUGUUUGGUAGCCAGCUUUUGAGAAUCUGGAAAAGCUCUGAAACCCAGCUUCUGGCUUCUUAGUUCAUUUUUCAGAAUCUAUAACUGCAGAUUCUCAGAAGCUGUGGACUGUUUGAGGCAGCUUCUAGCAGAAGCAGCUUUUGGGAAAAGCUGCAGCUGGGAGAAGCUCCCCCAAACAGGGCGGUAGCAUUCUCUAGAGUCACAAACCGAAAUGGCCUGAAGGUUCUGAUUGAUGAUUCAGAUUGUCCCGAAGAAAAUGUCGCUAGAAACAUUGUAUACAAGGAGAUUUUCUAAUUGACUUAAUAUUUUUAAGGUUUACUGCAAGCAGAAACGGUGAGCUCGAAAGACAGUCUAUGUAAAAAGUCCUCUGACAUAUACCCACAGUAUUUAAAAUCCUCUAAUUGUACCAGUGUUAUUCAAGUUUAUAGAUGCACAAAUGUUAUUCAAUAAGACCCAUUUGAUAAGAAAGUCCUCUCAAACGUAUAUCGAGCUUAAGAUAGGGUGCUGGUAGGUUCACAUUAUCUAAUAUCAAUUUAUUUAAGGAAAUGUUCUAUUUGUCUUGAUACUGUUCUGAAAUAGUAUAUUUUUAAUAUCCAUAUAUAUCUACUAAUCUAAUAAAAAUUCAUCUCAGUCAACCAAUAAAAAUAUUUGAAGCAUAAAAAAUCAAUUAGCAAAAAUCUCAAAUAGCCAUAUAUCUUCAAAUGUUUCCCCCAGCAAAGAUUGAGAAGAUAAACUUCUUGAUGUAAAAUAUUUUUGAUGGAGUGCGUCAAAGAGCAGUACACUUUUCCUUCAAUAAAAGAGACAAAUGAAUCAAUCCUAAUGAUAUCCCCAACGGAAGACUGCCAGCUUCACACUGCUAAUCAAAUCAAACAGCCAACAAGCAAGAAGAGAACUUUAUAUUUUGCAUAAGAGACAAAAACGAAUGAUAUGCAUGAAUAUUCCUAUUUACCUGAAACCAUGAGCCACUGCUCCAAUCAUGGACAGCAAACGAGAUGCUUCGUCAAAGGACCCUUGCUGUGCCGAAGGUCCUCCGAUACCGACGACGGUUCGUCGCACAUCAAUAUCCCCAGUGCCGCACACCUCCGAUCCAUGAGCAAACGGAUCUGACCCCAGGGAGCCCUUCAAGGUUUCCCCACAAUAAGCUGGAAGGGAAGUACACCGAGGCGACUCAGGUGACCGGCGGCGACGCAGGAAGGAGAGAGGGAAAAGGAAAAUUUCAGGAAGCAAGCAAGUGGGGAAAAGAUGAGAUAAGAGAGUGAGGGGAAAAAUUCAGGAAGAAGGAAGUGGGGAAAAGAAGAUGGGAGCUGCUUUAAACCAUUCAAUUCUGCGAUGCU
rnacentral:lncRNA from 1 species